AGUGAACGCUAGUGGCGUGCUUAACACAUGCAAGUCGAACGGACGAUAUUUGUGCUUGCACAAAUAAAGUUAGUGGCAAACGGGUGAGUAAUACAUGAGAAUUUUCCUUGCAGUACGGAAUAACUAUUGGAAACAGUAGCUAAUACCGUAUAUUGCCGAGAGGUGAAAGAUUUAUCGCUGCAAGAUAAGCCCAUGCAAGAUUAGCUUGUUGGUAAGGUAAUGGCUUACCAAGGCUACGAUCUUUAGCUGGUUUGAGAGGAUGAUCAGCCACACUGGAACUUAGACACGGUCCAGACUCCUACGGGAGGCAGCAGUGAGGAAUAUUGGACAAUAGGCGAAAGCCUGAUCCAGCGACGUCACGUGAAUGAUGAAGGCCUUAGGGUUGUAAAAUUCUUUUAGUGGAGAAGAUAAUGACGGUAUCCACAGAAAAAGUCCCGGCUAACUUCGUGCCAGCCGCCGCCGUAACAC
rnacentral:rRNA from 1 species